rnacentral:ncRNA from 1 species
GUACAACGAGUUGCAAACCCGCGAGGGCAAGCUAAUCUCUUAAAGCCAUUCUCAGUUCGGACUGCAGGCUGCAACUCGCCUGCACGAAGUCGGAAUCGCUAGUAAUCGCGGAUCAGCAUGCCGCGGUGAAUACGUUCCCGGGCCUUGUACACACCGCCCGUCACACCAUGAGAGUUUGCAACACCCAAAGUCGGUUCGGUAACCUUCGGGAGCCAACCGCCUAAGGUGGGGCAGA